AUGGGAAUACAUGAAAAUAUGGCAAUACCUUGUUUGGAUAGUGGGUGGGAAUAUAUAGGGAAUAAAUAACAAUUUUACAAAAAUACCCUUAUUAAGAUUAAUUUUUCAUUCUUUUCAUUAAUGACAAAAAUGUCAUUUUUCCCCUAUUCCCAUUCCCAUCCAUUUAUUACUUACCCUCCUUAAAAAUAAAAUGGUGGGAAUUCACCUUUAAAUAAUCUCAUUCCCAAAACACUUUAUUCUCAUUUUCACCAAACAAACGAGACUUAUUUUUUCAAUUGGGAUUAAUCCCAUCCUCAAUUCCCACUUGUCAAACACCACCUAUUGAAUACACCAAUAAUCCACUUCUCCCUCGUCAAUUCUCCUUCUUGACGCUGACUCUUCUCGCGACGCCGCCUUCAAGAGCUGCCGCUAGGUCGCCCUCGGUCAAGAUCUUCUUCCUCCCUACAGCCGCGAGUCAAGGAUUCCUCCUUUAUCCUUCCGGCUGCAAGUCAGGGCUGCUGGCCACUGCUCCAAGGGUUGACUUCUCCUUCAAGGGUUUGGGCGACUCCAAGAAUCAGCAUCACUCAAAGGAUUUUCGGCCCUCACGGUCACCAUAACUUCUACUUUCUUUCUCUUCUUUCUGAUUUUUAUUCAAUUUUUUUAAUACGGAUAUUGAUAACGAUUAUUUUUUAAUACGGAGGAAGAGGCUUGAUUUUUCUCUCUACUUUUAUUGUUGUUGUUAUUGUAGUUUAAUGGAAAAGGUUUUUGAUUAAAAUUAGGUAGUGGUGCGAAUUUAGGUUAAAAUUCUAAAAACUGUUGUGAUUGUAGUGUUCAUCCUGGAUUUUUAAUUGAAAUUAGACAAUUGUACAAUACUCAGUUAAAAUUAAUUGCAGCAUUUUAGUCAAUUACUUGGAAUCAACUUUGUUAUUGCAGGCACUUUCAACAAUUCAAAACCUUUCAUCCAAAAUCUGAUGAUAACAUGAACCACUGACAAUUAGAAUAAUAAGCAAAACUAAAUUGGGAUUGCAAAAGUAAAAACAGAGAAUGUAAAAUAUAGUCACGAACAAUGGAUUGAAUUAGGAUGGACGCCUCACCGCCUUAGAACAUACAAGAUCUAUGGUACUUAGCUUAUGAGAGACACUCUGAGGCAUUGGAUAUCCUUAAGUCAUGUGCCUAUCUCUAAUUGCAACAUGAUCAGGUCUUCUAUAUUGAACACCAACUUAUAAUUUUUGUUCAAUUUUUAUUCAAUUGUAUGGGAGAGUGCGGUCCAUUUGCUGAAAGUUAUGCUAAGUUUCUAAUUAAUGGCUUGUGUCGUUGUAGGGAUAGUUAACAAUAACUCUACUUUGUUUCUAUAAGUUGUUUCCUAUGAACUUAUGAAGCUUUUGGGAUGAUAUUAUACUUCUAUUAUUUGGAGAAAUAGAAACCUAGGUGUCAUACUUUAUCUUCAAACUGUUAUAUGUGAAAAUUCCUUCUCCCUAUAUGAAUCUUAUACGAAGUAUAAUUAUCCUACUGAACGGGAGUUUAAUCAAUCUUGUUGAUGAAUUUGUUUAUGAUUAGAAAGUUAUAUAAUAUUAAGUUAUUGACUAAUCUCUUAGAAUAGGGAGCUGCCCAUUGUGUAGACAGCCAUAUACAUCCAUGCAUGGUCAACCUUUUGUCAUUUUGCUUUUGUACCUAUUGAAAUAUGUGAAUUUGUCCAAAUGUGACUAUGUGAGAUUGUGAGGCCUGAUUGUAUCUGUGAACUAAAUGAUGUUCUGCAUAUCUAUUUAAAAUUUUAUUCAAUAUUAAUUCUGCUACUGUUUUGUUUGGGAUCUAAUUUCGUCUUAGACAAACUGGCUUUGAGCUUCUGAACUCUAUCAAUGGAGAGUAAGCUCUUUUAGCUCCACAAUUGUCGUUCCAUUAUUAUCUACAAGUUUGGAAGCUGUAGCUCAGAUGCUUUAACUCUUGAGAGUAUUGCAUAUGAGUUGUCACUUGUCAGUAUGAUUGUCUAUUAAUUUCUACUCUUCUUUUUAGGGUUCUAAGUGUAUUUUACCUCUAGUCUGUAGGGCCGAAAUAGAAAUGGAUUGGAGCAGGCCUUACAAGUUUUGAAAUCAAAGGUAUCAACAAAGGAGUUGUGAAUCUGACAAUGUUUAAUUGGACCUGCAAUAUUACUCUUUUUGUAUACUAUCUGCAUCAUAUCGUUUCUCACUAAAGUAUUUCUUAGUUUCUCAUAUAAUAUAUCUUCAUUAUUUCUUCGACUAUCUUGUGUUGUUUGUACAGUUAGGAAGCUAGCAAGUUGACUUUGUUCUUCUUUGGUUCCCAGAUUUAAAAAUACAAACUGGGCGUCGACCACUGAACCACCCAAGACAAAACCGCUUACAUGUUAACCCUAAUUCCAUGCUUUCUAGCUCUUGUUAUCAUGAAAAACGGGGUUCUCUUAGCUUGAAAAGUUUCACGUUUGCUGGCUCUACCUCAAUGUUCCUUCAGACUAUACUUACAUGAUUUCGUUGUGUUUUUGAUGCUGAAUUUUCGUACGUUUCAAUAAAUUUGUGAGUUUUGGCGUAAUUUUUCUAGAUUAAUAUGUGUGUACAUUGUUUUAAGGUGAAAUUAUGUGGGUUUUAAUGGUUCUUGGGUUGAUGUUUUUUUUUUCAGCAUUUACUUGGUGUUUGUCUCAAAAAUAUCCUGAACUGCAACAGAAUUGUGCAUGAGUUCAAAGUGCUCAUAUAGCUUCUCUUAUUUACUUUCCGAGACUUUUAACUUUUGAACAAUAGUUUAUCUCUACAUUUUCAUAUACCGUGGAUGUUUUACUGAGGUGCAAUUCUACAGUAUACUCUAAUGUUUUAUUUGUUUUCGAUGUAACAAACUUUUAGGAAUAUGGGUAAGAAUGCCUGGUUCGUGUCAAAUCAGGGUUGAAUUUAGGGUAUAAAAAGGCUAUUUCUUUACAAUAUAUCAUUAGUUCUGUCUCUUAUUAUUGUAAAGUCAACACUAGUCAUACCAGUGUACUUGUGAAAAUCGCUUUGGAGCAGCUCAAGCUCAAGCCAAUAUUUUUUGUAUAGAAGUGUACUUUGGACUUUCUUUCUUAGUGAGUUAUAUGCUCCUUGAGCAAAACUCUAUUACAUUGGCUCAUACUUAUUUUUAGUACUACGCUAGUCGUAGUAUAUGCUUCUUCAAAAUUGCAGUGAGCUAAUUUUUAGACUUAUAAUGACAAAAUAUCAGAAAGAAAAAAGUGGUUGCUGGCUGAUUUAAAGAAGUUCGUGAUGUGUAGUGUGCUGGUCGGAGAAAGCAAGGUGUUUAAGAAGCUUCAGGGUUUUCCACUGAUGUAGUUAGACACUUGCUGCUGCUCUUUGCUGGAGAUUGCUUCUGCUUUGCUGAUUGUUUCUGCUCCAAUUAUAGUGUAUUCUUAUUGACUAUUUGUAUUUUUUAUUUUUUUGAUAAAACUUGAAAAGUGUAAUUUACAAGUUAUUAAUGAAAAUAUGUAAGAUUUAUGUGUUUAUAUGUACUAUGUCUGUUAGUCAA